UGGAACCGGGCACGAGGCGAGGGGUGCUAUCUGUGGUUGAGGACACGGCAAAUGGAACUGUCUCACACAGAAAUCGCACCCAUCUCCUCGGCCC
ensembl:miRNA